AUCUAUGGCCAUACCACCCUGAAAGCUUCUGAUCUUAUAGGACCUUGGAAGCUAAGCAGGGUUGGGCCUGGUUAGUUCUUGGAUGGGAGAUAUAUCAGGCUGCUGUACUCC
ensembl:rRNA 5S_rRNA 5S ribosomal RNA